CGCCUGCGAUACAUUAAUGAAGGAUACCGCAUAUAUUUUCAAAAUGGCGGACAAAAACAAAACUAAGGUAAUAAAGUGAUUAAAAGACAGGCAAAACGAACUCUUGCGUGCUACCUUGGUCUUGCUUGGUAAAUUUAAAGAUGGUUUUAACUUUAAUGAACCUGGAAGUUGCAAAGAACUUGCGAUAGCCGACUGUUUCCCACAUGAACAACGUCCACUUGGACAAAUGUUCGAAACUCGAACAAUGCUUUUAGGCAGAGCGGUGGAAAAUGAUCAACUAUAUACAUGCGCAGCAUCCCAAAGUUCAGGGGCGUAGGAAGCUUCGAAAAGUUGGGGGGGGGCAGGCUUUGAGGGGCACUUUUCGAAAAAAAAAAGGGCAUCUAAAAAUUAUUUUUGGCGACCUCCCCAAAAAUUUUUCGGUCAGUGUACCAUUUUAGGGGUAAAAAAAUUUUCCGGACAUACCAAAAAAUUUUUUCCGGUUAUACAACUUUUUUCCUAAAUACGAAAACAAUUUUCCGGACAUACCAAAAAAUUUUCC